rnacentral:rRNA from 1 species
GAUGAACGCUAGCUACAGGCUUAACACAUGCAAGUCGAGGGGCAGCAUGAACAUAGCUUGCUAUGUUUGAUGGCGACCGGCGCACGGGUGCGUAACACGUAUCCAAUCUACCCAUGGCUCGGGGAUAGCCUUUCGAAAGAAAGAUUAAUACCCGAUGGUCUCGGUUUAAGGCAUCUUAGACUGAGUAAAGAUUUAUCGGCGAUGGAUGAGGAUGCGUCUGAUUAGGUAGAUGGCGGGGUAACGGCCCACCAUGCCUACGAUCAGUAGGGGUUCUGAGAGGAAGGUCCCCCACAUUGGAACUGAGACACGGUCCAAACUCCUACGGGAGGCAGCAGUGAGGAAUAUUGGUCAAUGGACGAGAGUCUGAACCAGCCAAAUCGCGUGAAGGAAGACUGCCUUAUGGGUUGUAAACUUCUUUUGUACAGGAAUAAAAAAGGCAACGUGUUGCCUAUUGCAUGUACUGUACGAAUAAGCAUCGGCUAACUCCGUGCCAGCCGCCGCAGUAAAAC